rfam:Omnitrophica bacterium GWA2_50_21 gwa2_scaffold_32252, whole genome shotgun sequence.
CACGCGGCUUUUUUCAAAGCCAUGUCUUUGUUUCAGAAUGGAGAUU